GUUAAAAUGGCUGAAAUAAAGUAAUAAACUGUAAAUUUAUAAAUGAACGUUGUUCUUUUAACA
rnacentral:tRNA from 1 species